rnacentral:rRNA from 1 species
CACGUAGGGGGCAAGCGUUGUCCGGAUUUAUUGGGCGUAAAGAGCUCGUAGGUGGUUCGGUAAGUCGGGUGUUAAACCCCCAGGCUCAACCUGGGGACGCCACUCGAUACUGCUGUGACUAGAGUCCGGUAGGGGAGCGUGGAAUUCCUGGUGUAGCGGUGAAAUGCGCAGAUAUCAGGAGGAACACCAGUGGCGAAGGCGGCUAUCUGGACGGUUUCUGACGCUAAGACGCGAAAGCGUGGGGAGCAAACAGG